UACGUAGGUGGCAAGCGUUGUCCGGAUUUACUGGGUUUAAAGGGUGCGUAGGCGGGCGCUUAAGUCAGCGGUGAAAUGCGGGGGCUCAACCUUCGAACGGCCGUUGAUACUGGGCGCCUUGGAUUCGGUCGAGGCGGGCGGAAUGCGACAUGUGGCGGUGAAAUGCUUAGAUAUGUCGCAGAACGCCGAUUGCGAAGGCAGCUCGCCGGGCCGAUAUUGACGCUGAGGCACGAAAGCGUGGGGAUCGAACAGGAUUAGAAACCCUAGUAGU
rnacentral:rRNA from 1 species